GACGAACGCUGGCGGCGUGCUUAACACAUGCAAGUCGAACGGAAAGGCCCUGCUUUUGUGGGGUGCUCGAGUGGCGAACGGGUGAGUAACACGUGAGUAACCUGCCCUUGACUUUGGGAUAACUUCAGGAAACUGGGGCUAAUACCGGAUAGGAGCUCCUGCUGCAUGGUGGGGGUUGGAAAGUUUCGGCGGUUGGGGAUGGACUCGCGGCUUAUCAGCUUGUUGGUGGGGUAGUGGCUUACCAAGGCUUUGACGGGUAGCCGGCCUGAGAGGGUGACCGGCCACAUUGGGACUGAGAUACGGCCCAGACUCCUACGGGAGGCAGCAGUGGGGAAUAUUGCCCAAUGGGCGGAAGCCUGAUGCAGCAACGCCGCGUGCGGGAUGACGGCCUUCGGGUUGUAAACCGCUUUCGCCUGUGACGAAGCGUGAGUGACGGUAAUGGGUAAAGAAGCAUCGGCUAACUACGUG
rnacentral:rRNA from 1 species